rnacentral:rRNA from 1 species
AUGGAGGAAUGCCUUGAUCAGCAGCAGCAGAAGAAGAGCAGCAAUGGUCAGCUCCAGAGGCUCGAGGGCAUCGAGGAGGAAGGCGGCCCGGCCCCGGCGGAGAAGUGGCCUCCGACGACGGUGCGGGCGCCGGAGACCCCGACGGAGACCAUGGAGUUCCUCGCAAGGUCCUGGAGCCUUUCGGCCGCGGAGAUAUCCAAGGCGCUCAAGGUCCUGAGCAGCAAGGGCGUCUGCGACAUCCCCGACGUGGGCGUCGUCGCGGGCGCAGGUAAAGAGCAGAGGUCGCCGCCGCCGCCAGUUGACGCGGCAAUGGCGGUGUCGCAGGCAGGCGACGGCGGUGUGGGAGGAGGAGUGACGAGCCCGCCGUUCUCUCCCAGGGCCGGUAGCAUGGACGCGCAGCUCCUCCGAGCCACCGCCGCCGCGGGGAGGGCAGGGGGCGGCAAGACGACGAUGGGCGCGUGGAUCAAGGAGCAGAAGGAGAAGAAGCGCGCCGAGGCCCGGUCCCGCAACGCGCAGGCCUACGCGGCGACGUCCGUGGCCGGGGUGGCGGCGGCGGUGGCCGCGCUGGUCGCCGGCGCGGUGUUCUCGUCCUCACCCGCCCCUCCUCCUCCUCCCCCCGCCACGAGGGGCGACGGCGGGGCGAAGACGGCGGCGGCCAUCGCGUCGGCGGCGGCGCUGGUGGCGUCGCACUGCGUGGAGAUGGCGCAGGCGAUGGGCGCGAGCCACGACCAGAUCCUGGGGUCGAUCCAGUCGGCCGUGAACGCGCAGGCGAGCGGCGACAUCAUGGCGCUGACCGCCGGCGCGGCGACGGCGCUGCGCGGGGCCGCCAUGCUGCGGGCCAGGCUCCACAAGGAGAUCCAGGCCACCGCCCUGCCCGGGGACGCCGGCAGGGCGGCCCCGGAGCGGGACAUCUCGCCGCUCAUCUUCGUGUCCAGAGGCGGCGAGCUGCUCAAGCGCACGAGGCAGGGGAUACUCCACUGGAAGCUUGUGACGGCGUACAUAGACCCCAACUUCCAGGUGAUCAUCAAGAUGAAGAGCGCGCACAUGGCGGGCACGUUCAUCAAGACCAAGAAGUGUGUUGUGGUGGGCGUCCGGGCGGAGGUGGCGGCGUGGGCGGGGAGGGAGGUGGAGGAGGGGGGCCGGCGGAGGGGCUACUUCGGGGUGCGGACGGAGGAGCGGGUGAUCGAGUUCGAGUGCCGGAGCAGGCAGGAGCAGCACAGGUGGGUGCAGGGCAUCACCGAGAUGCUCAACCGCCGCGACAACAUGAACAUGAACAUCACCCACCUUGUUGUAAACUAA